UUUUUACUCUCUUUAAGUUUCUACACAUUUGUUGCCACCUCUAUCAAGAACAAGAAUGGCCACCAAACUUGGAUUCAGUAUAACAAGCUCUAAACUUUUUCAUGCCCCUUUUAAAAGACCAAUCUUUUCUGCUUCUUCUUCACCAAGACCCCCAUUGAUCCCUUUUGGUGUCAGUAGAAAGUUGUCUAUUAGAAGAAAGUUGUUGGUUCUUUCCCCUAAGGCUGCUGCUGACCAGCCAGGUCAGGUCAAAGAAGAAGAGGAAGAGGACACUAAGAUUUUGCAGUAUUGUAGUCUUGACAGGAAACAAAAGAAAUCUAUGGGUGAAAUGGAACAAGAGUUUCUCCAAGCACUACAAGCAUUCUAUUAUGAAGGAAAG
rnacentral:misc_RNA from 1 species